rnacentral:rRNA from 1 species
ACCACGGAGAGUUUGAUCCUGGCUCAGAACGAACGUUGGCGGCGUGGAUUAGGCAUGCAAGUCGAACGCGAACGCCGGACUUCGGUCCGGCUAGUAGAGUGGCGAACGGGUGAGUAACGCGUGGGCAAUCUGCCCUUGAGUGGGGAAUAACCAUUCUAACGAAUGGCUAAUACCGCAUGUGUCCCUUCCCUCGCAUGGGGGAGGGUGCAAAGGUGGGGAUCUUCGGACCUGCCGCUCGAGGAGGGGCCCGCGUCCCAUUAGCUUGUUGGUGAGGUAACGGCUCACCAAGGCGACGAUGGGUAGCCGAUCUGAGAGGAUGACCGGCCACACUGGGACUGAGAUACGGCCCAGACUCCUACGGGAGGCAGCAGUCGAGAAGCUUCGGCAAUGGGGGAAACCCUGACCGAGCGACGCCGCGUGCGGGAUGACGGCUUUCGGGUUGUAAACCGCUGUCAGGAGGGAAGAAUCCUAUCGGGCCAAUACCCCGAUAGUUGACGGUACCUCCAGAGGAAGCUCCGGCUAACUCCGUGCCAGCAGCCGCGGUAAUACGGAGGGAGCAAACGUUGUUCGGAAUCACUGGGCGUAAAGGGUGCGUAGGCGGAUUCGCAAGUCAGAGGUGAAAUGUCCCGGCUCAACCGGGGACCUGCCUUUGAAACUGCGAGUCUUGAGGGCGUGAGAGGAGACUGGAAUUCCUAGUGUAGCGGUGGAAUGCAUAGA